rnacentral:rRNA from 1 species
UACGGAGGAUGCAAGCGUUAUCCGGAAUGAUUGGGCGUAAAGCGUCCGCAGGUGGCAAUGUAAGUCUGCUGUCAAAGCGUCUGGCUCAACCAGAUAAAGGCAGUGGAAACUACAUAGCUAGAGUAAGGUAGGGGUAGAGGGAAUUCCUGGUGUAGCGGUGAAAUGCGUAGAGAUCCGGAGGAACACCAGCGGCGAAGGCGGCGUCCUGGACUGGUACUGACGCUCAGGAGCGAAAGCGUGGGGAGCGAUCCGG